rnacentral:rRNA from 1 species
UACGUAGGGUGCGAGCGUUGUCCGGAAUUAUUGGGCGUAAAGAGCUUGUAGGCGGUCUGUCGCGUCUGCUGUGAAAACCCGGGGCUCAACCCCGGGCCUGCAGCCGAUACGGGCAGACUAGAGUUCGGCAGGGGAGACUGGAAUUCCUGGUGUAGCGGUGAAAUGCGCAGAUAUCAGGAGGAACACCGGUGGCGAAGGCGGUUCUCUGGGCAUGUCCUGACGCUGAGGAGCGAAAGUGUGGGGAGCGAACAGG